GGACUUCCCGUGUGGCUCACAACAUAACUACUCGGCGUUGCUUCUACAGGGGCUCUAAUCGGAGCUGUAGCUGCCAGCCUAUGCCAGAGCCACAGCAACUCGGGAUCCGAGCCGCGUCUGCAAUCUACACCACAUCUCACGGCAACGCCGGAUCGUUAACCCACUGAGCAAGGGCAGGGACCAAACCCACCACUUCAUGGUUCCUAGUCGGAUUCGUUAACCACUGCGCCACAACGGGAACUCCUAAAUGAUCAUUUUUUUUUUUUUUUGAAUGA
rnacentral:lncRNA from 1 species